rnacentral:rRNA from 1 species
ACAGCCAUACCACCCUGAACACACCCAAUCUCGUCUGAUCUCGGAAGCUAAGCAGGGUCAGGCCUGGUUAGUACUUGGAUGGGAGAAGAUAACACACGUGUCUUCAUGUA